GACGAACGCUGGAGGCGUGCUUAACACAUGCAAGUCGAACGAUGAAAUGGAGCUUGCUCCAUGGAUUAGUGGCGAACGGGUGAGUAACACGUGAAUAACCUGCCCUUAAUUUUGGAAUAACCCAGGGAAACCUGGGCUAAUACUGGAUAAGUAAACCUGUGGCAUCACAUGGUCUUGGAAAGUUUUUCGAUUAAGGAUGGAUUCGCGGCCUAUCAGCUUGUUGGUGAGGUAAUGGCUCACCAAGGCGACGACGGGUAGCCGGCCUGAGAGGGUGAACGGCCACACUGGGACUGAGACACGGCCCAGACUCCUACGGGAGGCAGCAGUGGGGAAUAUUGCGCAAUGGACGAAAGUCUGACGCAGCGACGCCUCGUGAGGGACGAAGGUCUUCGGAUUGUAAACCUCUUUCAGCAGAGACGAAGCGAAAGUGACGGUACCUGCAGAAGAAGCACCGGCUAACUAUGUGCCAGCCGCCGCAGUAAAAC
rnacentral:rRNA from 1 species